rnacentral:rRNA from 1 species
UACGUAGGGUGCGAGCGUUGUCCGGAAUUACUGGGCGUAAAGAGCUCGUAGGUGGUAUGUCGCGUUGUCCGUGAAAACUCACAACUCAAUUGUGGGCGUGCGGGCGAUACGGGCAGACUGGAGUACUGCAGGGGAGACUGGAAUUCCUGGUGUAGCGGUGGAAUGCGCAGAUAUCAGGAGGAACACCGGUGGCGAAGGCGGGUCUCUGGGCAGUAACUGACGCUGAGGAGCGAAAGCGUGGGUAGCAAACAGG